rnacentral:rRNA from 1 species
GACGAACGCUGGCGGCGUGCCUAACACAUGCAAGUCGAGCGAGGAACUUCGGUUCCUAGCGGCGGACGGGUGAGUAACACGUGGGUAACCUGGCUCAUAGAGGGGGAUAGCCUCUCGAAAGGGAGAUUAAUACCGCAUAAGAAGCGAAAGUCGCAUGGCUUUAGCUUUAAAGGAGUAAUCCGCUAUGAGAUGGGCCCGCGGCGCAUUAGCUAGUUGGUGAGGUAACGGCUCACCAAGGCGACGAUGCGUAGCCGACCUGAGAGGGUGAUCGGCCACAUUGGAACUGAGACACGGUCCAGACUCCUACGGGAGGCAGCAGUGGGGAAUAUUGCACAAUGGGCGAAAGCCUGAUGCAGCAACGCCGCGUGAGUGAUGACGGCCUUCGGGUUGUAAAGCUCUGUCUUUGGGGACGAUAAUGACGGUACCCAAGGAGGAAGCCACGGCUAACUACGUGCCAGCCGCCGCAGUAACAC